AAUUAUUUAAGAGCUGUCUGAAAGAUAGUACGUGCGAGUUUAAUAUACUUGCACAUAUAUGAAGUGCGAUUAUAAAUUGUACUCAGAAAGCAUUGUUCGCUUAAAUGGGUCAGCAUCCUAUUUUGUGACUGAAGGUCAUAUGGGCCGAGUCAUGUUCGAAAUGACGUGAGACUGUGUUGGGCCGAGUCAUAUUCAAAAUAGCGGGAGGCUGGUUGGACCGAAUCACAAUCGAGACCCGUGGAUGCUGUAUUUGUAUGCUUCAAGUGAAUUAGUUACAUAUUUCUAACAGCUCGAACUUUUGGAAUUAAUGGUUAGCGCCAACAAUCCAACAAGCAUCACAUAAAAAGUUUGGAGCUUAUCUCAGUUAAUUGUACACUAUUUAGUCCGAU
rnacentral:lncRNA from 1 species